UACGUAGGGUGCGAGCGUUGUCCGGAAUUAUUGGGCGUAAAGGGCUCGUAGGCGGUCUGUCGCGUCGAGUGUGAAAACUCAGGGCUUAACCCUGAGCCUGCUUCCGAUACGGGCAGACUAGAGGUAUGCAGGGGAGAACGGAAUUCCUGGUGUAGCGGUGGAAUGCGCAGAUAUCAGGAGGAACACCGGUGGCGAAGGCGGUUCUCUGGGCAUUACCUGACGCUGAGGAGCGAAAGUGUGGGGAGCGAACAGG
rnacentral:rRNA from 1 species